rnacentral:rRNA from 1 species
UACGAAGGGUGCAAGCGUUACUCGGAAUUACUGGGCGUAAAGCGUGCGUAGGUGGUUUGUUAAGUCUGCUGUGAAAGCCCCGGGCUCAACCUGGGAAUGGCAGUGGAUACUGGCAAGCUAGAGUGCGGUAGAGGGUAGUGGAAUUCCCGGUGUAGCGGUGAAAUGCGUAGAGAUCGGGAGGAACACCAGUGGCGAAGGCGGCUACCUGGACCAGCACUGACACUCAGGCACGAAAGCGUGGGGAG